ACGCCUUUAAGAUCCGGUUACGGU
rnacentral:siRNA from 1 species